GACGAACCGAGCGAACGUUGUUCGGAAUCACUGGGCUUAAAGGGCGCGUAGGCGGGUGCUCAAGUCCGGGGUGAAAUCCUCCAGCUCAACUGGAGAACUGCCUCGGAUACUGGGUGCCUCGAGGGUGGUAGGGGUAUGCGGAACUAUCGGUGGAGCGGUGAAAUGCGUUGAUAUCGAUAGGAAACUCCGGUGGCGAAGGCGGCAUACUGGACCACUUCUGACGCCGAGGCGCGAAAGCCAGGGGAGCAAACGGG
rnacentral:rRNA from 1 species